AAGGUUUUAUUUUAUUUGAAUAUAUUUUUUGCAAGAAUAAGGAAUAUACCUUC
rnacentral:tRNA from 1 species